rnacentral:RNase_P_RNA from 2 species
CGAGCCGGGCGGACGGCCGCGUGGGCCCAUUCGGGGACCCCCGAGGAACGUCCGGGCUCCACAGGGCAGGGUGAUGGCCAACAGCCACCCGGGGUGACCCGCGGGACAGUGCCACAGAAAACAGACCGCCGGAGGCUUCGGCCUCCGGUAAGGGUGAAACGGUGGUGUAAGAGACCACCAGUGCCCGAGGCGACUCGGGCAGCUAGGUAAACCCCACCCGGAGCAAGGUCAAAAGGGAGCACCCCGGUGCUCCUGCGCGGACGUUCGAGGGCUGCCCGCCCGAGUCCGCGGGUAGACCGCACGAGGCCGGUGGCAACACCGGCCCUAGAUGGAUGGCCGUCGCCCCGGGCACGCCGCGAGGCCCCCGGGGAACAGAACCCGGCGUACAGCCCGACUCGUCUG